GGAACGCAGGGAGUACAGACUGCAAGAAAGCAGGCAAAAUGACGUUCUGUGGAGGGAGGUGGUGUCACUGAGGCAGAAUCACACACAGCAGCAGAAAGUCAUAAACAAGAGCUGCUCCUGAACCUCAGCCGCCUCUCAGACACCCCAAAGCACAGUGGCUGAAACAACUAAUCUCUUUUUUAUUCAUGGCGAUGCAAAAGUUGGAGCAACACAUAAUAUCAGCGCCGGACUGCUGAACACGAGAGUUCUGGACAUGUUUUGAAUGUGCUGUCGCUGGAGAUUUUAACACAGACGUUUUCCUUCUCUGGU